GUACUAUUAUUAACAAAUUCAAUUAUCUGAAUUAACCCCAAACCUUCAGUAGUCAUUAGCCAUAAUGAUUUGUUCCCAACUCAUAAUCGAACCUCUGAAGAAAAUAGAAUACCUUACUAGGAUUCUCUAAAAAAGGACCUUACUCCUCCAAAAUUAAAUACUUAAUGAGAGUAUUCCUGGAAAGAUUUUCUAACAAUAAGGCCUU
rnacentral:lncRNA from 1 species